UACGGAGGAUCCAAGCGUUAUCCGGAUUUAUUGGGUUUAAAGGGUGCGUAGGUGGCCUGGUAAGUCAGGGGUGAAAGACGGUCGCUUAACGAUCGCAGUGCCUUUGAUACUGCCGGGCUUGAAUGAGCUAGAGGUAGGCGGAAUGUGACAAGUAGCGGUGAAAUGCAUAGAUAUGGCACAGAACACCGAUUGCGAAGGCAGCUUACUAUGGUUUUAUUGACACUGAGGCACGAAAGCGUGGGGAUCAAACAGG
rnacentral:rRNA from 1 species